UACGGAGGAUGCGAGCGUUAUCCGGAUUUAUUGGGUUUAAAGGGUGCGUAGGCGGUCCGUUAAGUCAGCGGUAAAAUGUCCGGGCUCAACCCGGGCCGGCCGUUGAAACUGGGGAUCUUGAGUGGGCGAGAAGUAUGCGGAAUGCGUGGUGUAGCGGUGAAAUGCAUAGAUAUCACGCAGAACUCCGAUUGCGAAGGCAGCAUACCGGCGCCCAACUGACGCUGAGGCACGAAAGCGUGGGGAGCAAAUAGG
rnacentral:rRNA from 1 species